UGAACGCUGGCGGCGUGCCUAACACAUGCACGUCGACCGGAGUCGUUUUGGAAAUCUCUUCGGAGAUGGAAUUCUCGACUUAGUGGCGGACGGGUGAGUAACGCGUGAGCAAUCUGCCUUUAAGAGGGGGAUAACAGUCGGAAACGGCUGCUAAUACCGCAUAAAGCAUUAAAUUCGCAUGUUUUUGAUGCCAAAGGAGCAAUCCGCUUUUAGAUGAGCUCGCGUCUGAUUAGCUAGUUGGCGGGGUAACGGCCCACCAAGGCGACGAUCAGUAGCCGGACUGAGAGGUUGAACGGCCACAUUGGGACUGAGACACGGCCCAGACUCCUACGGGAGGCAGCAGUGGGGAAUAUUGCGCAAUGGGGGAAACCCUGACGCAGCAACGCCGCGUGAUUGAAGAAGGCCUUCGGGUUGUAAAGAUCUUUAAUCAGGGACGAAACAAAUGACGGUACCUGAAGAAUAAGCUCCGGCUAACUACGUG
rnacentral:rRNA from 1 species